UUUCCAGAAUUACGGGUUUGACAAACCAAACAUUCAUUAUUUUCUUCUCUAGAGAGAGUUUUUGCCUUAUAGAUCUGAUCAGGAAA
ensembl:snoRNA